CCUCCCGCGGUGGCAUUACGGUAACCACAGGCGAGCUAGGCGUUUUGGCAGAUGGGUGGAGGCGCGAACGAAAGCCCCUCCAUACUACUAAUGCUGUGAUGAAGGAGCUUUCGCGUAGGCGCACAUGAGCAGGCUGAUCGCUGUGUGAUUUGGCCGUUCAACUGUGUAGUAUCCGCUGCAAGUUCUAAUUGUAGUGAGUGCAUUGGCUGCGACAAAAUUAAGCACUUUUUUGAUAUACCGAGAUAUGAAAACGUUUGCGGCGUUAGGUAUUUCUGCCUUGAAGAAUACGUUUGCACUGCAUGGUGGGGUCAAUUUUAGGGAAUGUCAGUAUCAUUGCGUAUGGUACUCUGAAUGGAAACAAAGUAACAUUAAUUUGAACAGUCGCCUACUGCUUUCUCAGCUAGAAAUUUCAUUUGCAGCGUGGCAUGACAUCCCACUAAAGAGGGCUAAAUGUUUGGACAGUAACAGCACUAAUUCAACAUUAUUUUGACUACAUUGAUUGCAGGAAGCUGUAAAGUCAACAACACAAGAGUCUUGCACGGCAGAUGGACGACAAUGCAAUACCCCUGUGCCAAUGUGUCUUGCCGCAAUAAGGUUGUGACGUGGCAGAACUGCACCCCUCCUUUGUUGCAAGAGGAUCCAAGCUGUCAAUUAUUGAGUCAUGAUGGAGAAUACCCGAUAUGCUGCCCCAAUUAUGUGUGCGAGUAGAACUGAAAGGGGUCAUCAUUGUUUCUGCACCAAACCAUUUGACAUAUGACAUCUGCAGAGAAGACUUUUCACGCGCCUACAAAAA